rnacentral:lncRNA from 1 species
AUUGAACUGGGUUUACUCAAUCACUGAGCCACAUCUUCAGCCCUAAUUUGUGUUUUAUUUAGAAAUAGGGUCUCACUGAGUUGCUUAGUGCCUUGUUUUUUUUUGCUGAGGCUGGCUUUGAACUUGCAAUCCUCCUGUCUCAGCCUCCAGAGCUGCUGGGAUUACAGGCGUGUGCCACUGCAUUGAGCUAGUCCAUUGCUUUUAAUUCGACAAAAUCUUAUCAAUAACUUCAGUAUUAUUAUUAUCACUUUAUAGCUGAAGCUGUUUUCACAGGUCCCCUGAAAAGUUAUGAAGCUUAUCUUCAUCUCCAGGUCUAUGUGAUGGUGGCUAAGCAUCCCAGCUUUCACUACCUCCGCAACCUGCCCUAAAAGCCAUUAUACUUCUCUUGAGUGAGGUGUCCAAAGUGAAGAGGAAAAGACCUGAGGAUUCCCUUGCCUCCAUCACAGUUUUGCCUAGGGCUUGAUCUACAGUUGUAGCUGCUUCUGGAUUUUCUGAUUUACCAAAUAUUGAAAGGUAAGGUUAAAGAUCAAUUAAUCUUUAAUCUAGCUGGGAAUGAGCAAAUUCAUAAACUUAGUGUUUCACAGCUCUUGGAAGCAGAGUCAUCUUCACCCUGAAGUUCUACUGGGUCUGGGUGAUAGGGGUAUUUGUGAUGAGAUCUGUACUAAUGCAAUAAGGAUUUUAAAAGUCCUGAGGGACACAUCCAGAUUGCUAUUGCUCCAUGAAAGUCUAAACUCUUGGCCUCAUUUCCUGGAGAUGUGUUACCUGCCCUUUCCUGAGAGGUGUUUUUUAAUCCUUGUCUCUCUUAUUUGUCUUAUUUUCUUCCCUGCUAUGUUUUUCUGCUAUAACUCAUCUUAAUGUAAACUAAAAUCUAUUUUAAUUUACAUAAUGAGUUAAGCUGUAUAUUUAUUGUCAUCAAUAUAAAAACAGGUAAGUAGGAAAUUUUAUAUCUUUCUUGUAAACAUAAGAUUUCUUAAAGAAACCAGGUAGCAAGUAACUGAUUUUUAUUUUUCUUCCUGUGUUUUAAUAACUCUUGAUUUUAAAAAAUGAAAGUUCUUUAGUCCUCUUUUAAGAUGUAAUUAGUCCUGAGUUGUUUUCUUCCUUUACUUCAUACCUGAGAAAAUUCAGAAGACCUAGGCAGAGACUAUUAGAAUCAGCUAAUUAAUCAUGAUAUUUGGAAUAAUUCUUAAAUAGAAUAUCUGAAAACAAAACUUCUAGAUGGCAGGAAAAUAUUAAAUAUUCAAACUUGAGGAGUCUAAAACUCCACUUGAUAGUUAAGACAAAAAAAUAGCCAUUAGACAAAUAUUUAGGAACAUGCCCUAUCCAAUUUUAUUACUAUCACUAAUAGUUCUCCUAUGAUUUAGCUUCUGAAUAGAAUUAGCUAAUAUGAGUUUUUCCCCAUUCAGAAUUCAGUACUGAGUUCUUUUAUUUUUGGAAUAAAAAGCCAAGAACAUUCAGACAUAUGUAAAUUUUACAUCUGAAUAUUUUGAAGUGUAUCCUGUUUAAAUUUUUAUUUAUUUUUAUUAUCUUGUUUUGCAAUGUUGGGGAUUGAAACAGUCCUCAUGCAUUGUAUCAUUUAAAAAUUUUUCAUUUUCAUUUAAAAUUUUAUUGUGUUAAAAACACCUAACAUGAGAUCUACUCCUUAACAGAUUUUUGAGUGUACAACUAUAGACAUAACACUGUAGAGCAGAUUUCUGAACUUAUUCAUCUUGCAUACAUUUUAAAUUUUAUAUCUGUUAAUUAACAACUUCCCAUUUCCUCUCCCUGUAAGCCCUGGCACCCGCUAUUCUAUUCUUUGCUUCUAGGAGUUUGACUAUUUUAGAUACCUCAUGUAAUUGAAAUCAUGCAGUUUGACUUUCUGUGGUGGGCUUAUUACAUUUAGCAUAAUGUUCUUGAAGUUCAUCUAUAUUGUCACAUAUGGCAGGAUUUCCUUCCUUUUAAGACUGAGUGAUAUGCCAUUGUAUGUAUACACCAUAUUUUAAAAAUCCAUUCAGUCACCAAUGGACAUUUAGUUUGUUUCUACAUCUUGGUUAUCAUGAACAGAGGCUGUAGUGAACAUGGGAAUGCUAAUAAGUCUUUGAGAUUCUGAUUUCAAUUCUUUUGGAUAAACACCCAGAAGUCAGAUUGUUGGAUCAUAUGGUAGUUCUACUUUUAAUUUUUUGAGGAACCUCCAUUCUAUUUUGUAUAGCAGCUGUACCAUAUUUCAGUCCCAUCGACAGUGUGCAAGGAUUCCAGUUUAUCCACAUUCUUGCAAAGACUUGUCUUUUUAAAAAACUAUACUAGUUAUCUUAACUGGUAUUCACCCAUUUGUUAAUUGAGUUAUUUAAUUGGGUUACUCAAUAACUCCAUUAAUAAAUAGAAACAAUAAAUGGGGCUGGGGUUGUGGCUCAGCAUAGAGCACUUGCCUGGUACGUGUGAGGCACUAGGUUCAUCCUCAGCACCACAUAAAAAUAAAUAAAUAAAAUAAAUAUUCAAACUUGAGGUCCAUCCACAACUAAAAAAUAUUAUUAAAAAGCAAUGAAUGGGUUCUUAGCUCAUCUAUUGAUUGGGUUGUGGUUUUAAUAUUGAAUUUCAGGAGUUCUAUUUUGAAAAUUGACUCCUUAUCAGAUCUAUGAAAAUAUUUUUUCUCAUUCUGUGGGUUGGCUUUUCACUGUAUUGUCUAUUUCUCUCUGCUUUUUAAUUUGAUGUAGUCCCACUUGUCUAGUUACACAUUUUCCCCCUGUGUUUUGGGUAUUAUAUACAAGAUUAUUGACAUCAUUGCCAAUAUCAAUAUCAGGAAGGUUUCCCCUAUGUUUUCUUCUAGGAGUUUUAAAAUGAAGCAUGUAAUCCAUUUUGAGAUGACUAAUGUUUAUGGUGUAAGAUAAGAGUCUAAUUUCACCAUUUUGUAUUGUUGUUUAUUCAGUUUUCUUAACACCAUUUGAUGAAAAGAUUAUCCUUUUCCCAUUAUGUAUUUAUGUAUUCCUGGCACCUUAGUUGAAGAUCAGUUGACCAUAUACAUAUGAAUUUAUUUCUGGGUUCUUUGUUCUGUUCUGUUGGUCUCUUUUUAUGGCAAUAUUUAAUUACUGUAUCCUUGUAACAUAUUUUGAUACUAGGAAUUGUGAUAGCUCUAGUUUAUUUUUCUCCAAGAUUAUCUUGGAUAUUUGAGGUCUUUUGUGUGUGAAUUUUAGAAUUUUUCUUUCUAUUUCUGUAAAAAAUGUCUUUGGAGGAGAAGAUCCAAGAUGGCUAUCUAGAGGGAAGAUGCAUUCCUUGUCGCUCUGUGACUCGGUGUCCAAACAGAAGAAAUACUGUUUCUCUGCAAGGCAGUGUUGCUGUCCAUUGAUCUCUUGCUGUUUACCCACCAUUUGUCUGCUGUGAUCACCCAUUGUGUACCAGUAUAUAGCCUGCCUUUUGAACACAGAUCCCUUGCUGACUGCUGCCUGUCAUCUGCCAUUUGCCUGCCUCUUGCCUGUCCAUCGCCUGCCACCUGAUGUCCACCGGUGGAUCACCUGAUGUUAGUCUGCAGACCACCCACAGACUGCCAGCAGAUUGCCCCCUGCCUACUGUCCCCUACUUUCUGGAAGACCAUUGUCACAGUACCCACAGGUUUGGUUACAAGCAGUCACCACCAUCUUGGAACAUCCACCAAGACCUGUUGGUUUGUUGCUGCACCGCCGCCAUCUUGGGGCACAGCCACCUCAGUCUGGGAACACCAGCCAGAGCUUAGAAAUAUAUUUUUGGGGUACCUGCAGCUCUGAUUGCACCUGAGGUCUUUCUUCUAGGUGUGCUAGUGGCUACUAUCUGGAUGUCUCUUUGCAGGGUCGCUCCUUUGUGUAAGUGCAUCCCUGGUGAUCUCUCUGUAAGCUGAAACAGCAUUGAGAUCUUGGGACUGCAGUAAGGCAGAGCAUGGAGAAUCUGAAGCCCAGGUCUAUCAGAUUGAAGCUGGGCUUGUGUGGGCAAGUCUGGGUCUAGCAAGCCCAUGGAACACCAGAGAUUAGAGGCAAUUCCCCAAAGGGAGCACAGGUUGGAGAAACUGGAAAAAACUGGGCUCUCUCCAGCUCAGUGAGUCCUAAAGUACAUGAGGAUGAAAGGGGUUGGCUACAAGUGGGAAGCCUGGAAAAGGGUAUGAAAACAUCUUGUUAUUGGCUCACCCACCCAACCAGUACAGCACCAACCAGACUGGAGCUUCCGUCAAACUUUAGACAACCCCACCUAUCAGCAGAGAAGAGCAGCUGAGAACAUUUUUUAAAGCCAAUGGAAGUUAUUGUUCAAUUUUCCAUUGAAGUAUUCCUUUUUUUUUUCUCUUUUUCCCUCUCUCUCUACCAUCUUUGAAUCCAAAUAUUUUUCUUGCUUCAAUUAUUGAGAAAAUGGUACAUCUGAAUAGUAUAUUACAGUUUUGUUGUAUAUCCUUAUAUUUUUACUUUUUUUCUUUUUUAAAUCUGUAUAUAUUUUUUCUGUCGCCUAUCUCUCUCAUUGGAUUCUCUUUCUCAAUUAUCUCAUACUAACAGCCAACCUCUAUUAAUUACUCCCUCGGUAUUACUAAACAUUUUUACUUCUAUCUUCUCUCCUCCCUCAUAAACACCACAUCUUACACUACUUCUGUUCCCUCAUUGUCCAUCAUGAGAAAUGGUAGAACCUUUUAGCAUACUUACUAUAUUAUUGUAGACAAUAACUGAAUACAUCAUUUCUGGUUAUUGUAACAAAGCUGUAGAUGCCUUAAUGGGAUCUAUUUGGUUUAAAGGUAUAUAUUGUUUGCAUUUGGUGCUGUUAAUAUGGGUCUCUCCAUUAAAGAUAAGGUACUGGAAGCCUUCAGGGACACUAUAAGACUAUAGGGCAGAAACUGUAUUUCCUCAGAUCCAUACUGCUAGAUGGGAAGACACACAAACAACACACACACACAAAAAAAAAAAAAAAAACAGGAACAAAGCUCCUCAAACAAACCAAGAUGUCUCAACAAUAGAAUUCAUACACAACACAGUAGAAGAAAUGACAGAAAAGGAGUUUAGAAGAUACAUAAUUAGGCUGAUCUUUGAAAUAAGAAUGGUAUCAGAGAGAAAAUACAGGGAGCAAAAGAUAACUUCAAUAAAGAGGCAGAGAUUGUAAAAAGGAAUCAAGCAGAAAUCUUUGAAGUGAAGGAAACAAAAACCAAAUUAAAAAUUCAGUGGAAAGUAUCACCAACAGACUAGACCACUUAGAAGACAGAACCUCAGGCAAUGAAGACAAGAUAUAUACUCUUGAAAAUAAAGUCAACCAUACAGAGAAGAUGGUAAGAAACUAUGAACAGAACUUCCAAGAAAUAUGGGGUAACAUGAAAAGACCAAAUCUAAGAUUUAUCAGAACAGAUGAAGGCAUGGAGAUACAAACCAAAGGAAUGCACAGUCUUUUCAAAGACAUAAUACCAGAAAAUUUCCCAAAUCUAAAGAAUGAAAUGGAAAAUUAACUACAAGAGAUUUAGAGGACCCCAAAUGUAUAAACUUACAGCAGACUCACACCAAGGAACAGUAUACUGAGAAUAACAUACAGAAUAAGGAUAGAAUUUUAAAGGCUGUGAGAAAAAAAAUAAAUUACAUAUAGGGGGAAACCAAUUCGGAUUUCAGCUGAUUUCAUAAUUCAGACCCUCAAUGCCCGGAAGUCCUGGAAUAUUAUAUAUCAAGCUCUAAAAGAAUAUGGAUGCCAACUGAGAAUUUUAUAUCCAGCUAAAUUAAGCUUCAGAUUUGAAGAUGAAAUAGAAACCUUCCAUGAUAAACAAAAGUUAAAAGAAUUCACCACUAGAAAGCCUGCACUACAAAACAUUCUCGGCAAAAUAUUCCACAAGGAGGAAAUUAAAAAAAAAAUGAAAACCAACAAAGGGAGGAGCUAUACUAAAGAAAAGGUCAAUCUAAAGAGAAACUAAGUCAAGUCAAAAAAAGCAAAAAUAAGCCAAAAUGACCAGGAAUACAAAUCAUAUAUCAAUAAUAACCCUGAAUGUUAAUGGCCUUAAUUCAUCCAUCAAAAGAUAUAGAUUGGCANUCAACAAUAGAAUUCAUACACAACACAGUAGAAGAAAUGACAGAAAAGGAGUUUAGAAGAUACAUAAUUAGGCUGAUCUUUGAAAUAAGAAUGGUAUCAGAGAGAAAAUACAGGGAGCAAAAGAUAACUUCAAUAAAGAGGCAGAGAUUGUAAAAAGGAAUCAAGCAGAAAUCUUUGAAGUGAAGGAAACAAAAACCAAAUUAAAAAUUCAGUGGAAAGUAUCACCAACAGACUAGACCACUUAGAAGACAGAACCUCAGGCAAUGAAGACAAGAUAUAUACUCUUGAAAAUAAAGUCAACCAUACAGAGAAGAUGGUAAGAAACUAUGAACAGAACUUCCAAGAAAUAUGGGGUAACAUGAAAAGACCAAAUCUAAGAUUUAUCAGAACAGAUGAAGGCAUGGAGAUACAAACCAAAGGAAUGCACAGUCUUUUCAAAGACAUAAUACCAGAAAAUUUCCCAAAUCUAAAGAAUGAAAUGGAAAAUUAACUACAAGAGAUUUAGAGGACCCCAAAUGUAUAAACUUACAGCAGACUCACACCAAGGAACAGUAUACUGAGAAUAACAUACAGAAUAAGGAUAGAAUUUUAAAGGCUGUGAGAAAAAAAAUAAAUUACAUAUAGGGGGAAACCAAUUCGGAUUUCAGCUGAUUUCAUAAUUCAGACCCUCAAUGCCCGGAAGUCCUGGAAUAUUAUAUAUCAAGCUCUAAAAGAAUAUGGAUGCCAACUGAGAAUUUUAUAUCCAGCUAAAUUAAGCUUCAGAUUUGAAGAUGAAAUAGAAACCUUCCAUGAUAAACAAAAGUUAAAAGAAUUCACCACUAGAAAGCCUGCACUACAAAACAUUCUCGGCAAAAUAUUCCACAAGGAGGAAAUUAAAAAAAAAAAAAAUGAAAACCAACAAAGGGAGGAGCUAUACUAAAGAAAAGGUCAAUCUAAAGAGAAACUAAGUCAAGUCAAAAAAAGCAAAAAUAAGCCAAAAUGACCAGGAAUACAAAUCAUAUAUCAAUAAUAACCCUGAAUGUUAAUGGCCUUAAUUCAUCCAUCAAAAGAUAUAGAUUGGCAGAUUGGAUUUUUAAAAAAAAGACCCAACAAUAUGGUGUCUUCAAGAGACUAACUUCUUAGGAAAAGACACCCAUAUACUUGAAGGACACAGGAAAAACGUCAUUCACAUGGACUGUGUAAAUAAGCCAGGGUUUCCAUCCUCAUAUCAGACAAAGUGUACAUCAAACCAAAGUUAGUCAGAAGGGAUAAAGAAGGACAUUUCAUACUGCUUAAGGGAAUCAUACAUCAACAGGACAUACCAGUUAUAAAUAUUUAUGCCCCAAACAAUGGAGCAUCUAUGUACAUCAAACAAACCUGUCUCAAUUUCAGGAAUCUAAUAGACCACAACACAAUAAUACUGGGUUACUGUAGCACACCCCUUUCACUACUGGAUAGGUCUUCCAAACAAAAACUAAACAAAGAGACUAUAGAACUAAAUAAUAUAAUCAAUGAUUUAGACUUGAUGGACAUAUAUAGAGUAUUUCAUCCAUCAUCAAGUGAAUAAACCUUCUUCUCAGCAGCAGAUGGAUCCUUCUCUAAAACGGACCAUAUGUUAUGUUACAAAGCAACUCUCAGCAAAUACAAAAAAAAAAAAAAAUAGAGACACUACCCUGCAUUCUAUCAGAUCAUAACGGAAUGAAAUUAAAAAUCAAUGAUAAAAAUAGAAGCUACUCCAGCACCUGGAGACUAAAUUAUGCUAUUGAAUGAACAAUGAAUAACAGAAGACAUCAGGGAAGAGAUUAAAAAAUUCUUAGAGGUAAAUGAGAACACCAAUGGGACACUAUGAAGGCAGUGCCAAGAGGAAAGUUCAUUUCAUUGAGUUCAUUCAUUGAAAGAAUAAAAAGUCAACAAAUAAAUGACUAAUAUUACAUCUCAAAGCCCUAGAAAAAGAAGAAAAAGUCAACACCAAAAGUAGUAGAAGACAGGAAAGAAUUAAAAUCAGAGUUGAAAUCAAUGAAAUGGAAACAAAAGAAACAAUUGAAAAAAUUGACAAAACUUAAAGUUGGUUCUUUGAAAAAACAAGUAAAAUUGAUAAAUGCUUAGCCCUACCAACAAAAAGUAGUAGAGAGAAAACUCAAAUUACUAAAAUUCAUGAUGAAAAAGGAAAUAUCAAGACAGACACUAUUGAAAUAUAGAAGAUAAUUAGAAAAUAUUUUGAAAAUUUAUACUCAAAAAAAAAAAAAAAGAAAAUCUCAAAGACUCAACAACUUUCUAGAGACAUAUGACCUACCCAAACUAAAUCAGAAGGACAUACACAAUUUAAACAGAUCAGUUUCAAGCAAUGAAACAGAAGAUGCCAUCAAAAGCCUACCAAAUAAGAAAAGCCCAGGACCAGAUGGAUUUUCAGUCCAGUUCUACAAGACUUUCAAGGAAAACUAAUACCAAAACUCCUCAAAUUAUUCCAUGAAAUACAAAAGGAGGGAAUCCUUCCAAACUCAUUUUAUGAGGCUAGUAUCACUAUGAUCCCAAAACCAGACAAAGAUAUCUCAAGGAAAGGAAACUUCAGACCAAUAUCCCUGAUGAACAGAGUUGCAAAAAUUCUCAAUAAAAUUUUGGCAGAUCAUAUUAAAAAACUUAUUAAAAAGAUAGUGCACCAUGAUUAAGUGGAGUUUAUCCCAGGGAUGCAAAGUGGGUUCAACAUAUGGAAAUCAAUAAAUGUAAUACAUCACAUCAACAGACUUAGUGACAAGAAUCAUGAUUAUUUCAAUAGAUGCAAAGAAAGCAUUUGACAAAAUAUAGCACCUCUUCAUGUUCAAAACACUAGAAAAACUGGGGAUAGUAGGAAUAUACUUCAACAUUGUAAAAGCUAUCUAUGCUAAGCCCAAGGCCAACAUCAUUCUAACUAGAGAAAAAUUUAAAGCAUUCCGUCUGAAAGCUGAACAAGAUAGGGAUUCCCCCUUUCACCACUUCUAUUCAACAUAGUCCUUGAAACUCUAGCCAGAACAAUAAGACUGAUGAAAGAAAUUAAAGGGAAAUAAAUAGGAAAAGAAGAACUCAAACUAUCUCUAUUUGCCAGUGACAUGAUUCUAUAUUUAGAGAAUCCAAAAAAUUCCUCCAGAAAACUUCUAGAACUAAUAAAUGAAUUCAGCAAAGUAGGAGAAUAUAAAUCAAUACCCAUAAAUAAAAUUCAUUUCUAUGCAUAAGGGAUAAAUCCAUUGAAAGAGAAAUUAAGAAAACUACCCCAUUCACAAUAGCCUCAAAAAAUACUUGGGAAUCAAUUUAACAAAAGAAGUGAAAGACCUCUACAAUGAAAACUACAGAAGAUUAAAGAAAGAAAUUGAAGAAGACCUUAGAAAAUGGAAAGAUCUCCCAUGCUCUUGGAUAGGUAGAAUUAAUGGUCACACUAAUGGCAAAAUGGCCAUGCUACCAAAACUGUUAUACAGAUUUCAUGCAAUUCCAAUUAAAAUCCCAACAACAUUCUUCAUAGAAAUAGAAAAAGUAAUUAUAAAAUACAUUUAGAAAAAUAAGAGACCCAGAAUAGCCAAAGCAAUCUUUAGCAAGAAAAGUGAAGCAGGGGGCGUCACAAUAUCCUAAACUAUACUACAGAAUAAUGGUAACAAAAACAGCAUGGUAUUGGCACCAAAAUAGACAUAUAGACCAAUGGCACAAAAUAGAAGACACAGAGAGACAAACCCACAAAAUAUAGUCAUCUUACAUUAGACAAAGGUGCCAAGAAUACACAUUGGAGAAAAAAGAUAGCCUAUUCAACAAAUGGUUGGAUAUUGGUUCUUUGAUUUGGGUUUGUUAUUUUGUCCUAUUUGUGUUUUUAAUUUGGAUUUGUUGUUUUGGUCUGUUUUUUUUUUUUUUUUUUUUUUUUUUUUUUUUUUUUUUUUUUUUUUUUUUUUUUUUUUUUUUUUUUUUAGCUAGCAUCCUUAGGUGGUGUUCCUGCUUAGGAUAUAUAGCCAGAGUAGUGAGACUAGUGUAAUGUUUCAAGGGCCCAGCUCCUGCAAGAAGGCAGUCUUGAGGGUCCAGUAUGAGGUCCUGAGAGAUAUUGGCCAUGGUGGGUUUGGCCAGAUAAAACUAGCCCAUCAUUGGCCCAUGGGGGCAGAGAUGGCAGUGAAAGUCUUGCCAAAGACAGUGCAGAACCUCCCAAUCCUCUCUGAAACAGAUAUGAUGAGGAGCCUGGAGCAUCCCAAUGUGAUUCAGUUAUUUCAGGUUGUUGACACCCACAGAAAUAUCUAUAUGGUGAUGGAGCAUGCGGGUGGGGGACAGUUACUGGACCAUGUCCCACAGCAUGACAUGCAGGAGAAAGAGGCCCGCAGACUUUUCCAGCAGAUAGUAUGUGCCAUGGGCUACUGCCAUGACAAGGGCAUCAUGCACCAAGACCUGAAGCCAGAGAACAUCAUGCUGGAUGCCAGAGGCCACAUCAAACUUAUUCACUUUGGCUUCAGCACCACAGUCAUGCCUGGGCAGAAACUGCACAAGUUCUGGGGCACUCUCCCUCACUUUGCCCCUGAAAUUAUCCUGAGGCAAGCAUAUGAAGGGCACUCAGUGGACAUCUGGAGCCUGGUUUCAUUCUGUAUUUUAUGUUGACAGGGAGGUGCCCAUUUAUGGGACCUACCACUAAGGAGGUGCUGAGGCAGAUCGUGCUUGGAACCUACCACAUCCCUCCCUGUGUUUCUGUAGUAGCACAAAUACUCACCUGCCAAAUACUGACCCUGGACCCCAGGAAGCGGCCCACAGCCAAGCAGAUCCUUCAGCACCCAUGGCUGACACAGAGUGAGCAGUAUUUACCUCAUGAUUAUGGUAAGGCCCUCCCCAAAACCCAGACCCCAAAAAACUGACAGUAAUGUUUGAUAUGGAUUAUGAUCUACACAAUACCUGUGUGUCUGGCCAAGAGAAAGUUCAAUGAAGCCAUGGCUAUCUACCUUAUACUAGAGCACCAGAAAAGCCAGGGGGCAGGCUGCAUGUUCCAGGGGAAGCCUGUGCCUCCGAAGGUUAAGCCUCGCCCAUGCCCCUUGGAUCUUUCCAAUUCCCCUGUCCUCCCAAAGAGGUGUCCCAGAGAGCUUGCCCUUCCUUCCCCUUGCCCUGUGAGCCUCUUCUGCCUGAGUAGGCCCAGCAGUCAGGGCAGAAGUGCAUCUGAAGGGCUAGACAGCCUGCCAUCCAUUUCCACGACCCUCCUGCAAGGACCCACAUACUGAUUUAGCCUCCUAGUUGGACUUUGGGCAACCCCAUACCAUUGGAAAGUUCUGGAAGCAGGUGACUGGGAGGAUUGCUACCUGUCUCUGUCAACUGUGCCUUUGCAUGCCAUAUGUCAAAAGUAAAGUGGUUCCAAUGUAAGAGGGCAGAAACCUGCCAGGUUCAUAAUGUGGCUCCAAUGAAGGGGAAAGGUGACCAGACUAAACCAGAGCACAUCCAGAAAACCUGUGCUCUGUGGAUUCUGACACCUGUGUGGGCAUCAGUCAUGUGGACUCUGAACAGCUGCAGGAGCAACAUGUGCCAACUACCUCAGGUUCCUCUGCCCAGGUUUUAGCCAAGAGCACUUCUGCAUCCACUUGGACAUCAGGAGUCUCCUCUGCCCCCACCUGCUGAAGAUAUCAGAGACUGUUCUCCUUGAGACACUUCCUGCUGCCCUGCCCCUCUGUCCUUUCUCCCAUUCUUCUGAGUUGUUUCUUAAUAAAUUUAUUUCAACAAAAAAAGGUGCC